AGGUAGCCUCAAUGGUUAGACCCAAAGU
rnacentral:piRNA from 1 species